GAUGUCGGCUCGUCUCAUCCUGGGGGUGGAGAAGCUCCCAAGGGUAUGGCUGUUCGCCAUUUAAAGAGGUACGCGAGCUGGGUUCAAAACGUCGUGAGACAGUUUGGCCCCUAUCUGCUGUGAGCGCUUAGAAAUUUGAUGAGAUCUGUUCCUAGUACGAGAGGACCGGAAUGGACGAACCCCUGGUGGAUCGGCUGUCAACCAAUGGCACCGCCGAGUAGCUAAGUUCGGAAUGGAUAACUACUGAAAGCAUCUAAGUAGGAAGCCAACUCAAAGAUAAGAUUUCUCAGGUCUGUAAGGAUCAUAAGUGCCCUUGGAGACUACAAGGUUGAUAGGACGCAAGUUGAAGCACAGAAAUGUGUGUAGCUGAGCGUUACUAAUAGCACGAACGGUAUUUAUAU
rnacentral:rRNA from 1 species